UUGGAAGAUUGUUAUAAGGACCAUUAGAUGAAGAAAUAACAUCAUUUUACCACUUUCAAACUUCAUCUUCUUUCUCCUUCUUCCUCUCUUGUUUUCGCCCAUAGCCACACACACACAUCCACAUUUUCUUUCACCAUUCAAGCAAAUCUAAGGCUAUACAAAGGUGUACAAGGAUGACCUAAGAAGGUAACAAGCAAAGGAAGUUGAAGGACCACCUCUAGGAGCUUUUAUCCAACCAUCUUCUUCAUUCUUCAUCUUCUUCUUGUUCUUGCCACAUCCCUAGCCACAAGAGCCAGUGGUAAGUUCCAUAGUCCAUCUUUUACUUCAUGUUAAGCUUAUGUUACGACAUUCAAGUAGUGGACGCCGAUCUACUUUUUUCAAACGCAAACAGCUUGCCACCGUACGCGCUUUUCAAUCUAGAUCUGAAACAACCGCCCUGCUUGUUAAUUGUAAUAUAG
rnacentral:lncRNA from 1 species